rnacentral:tRNA from 1 species
GCCUGGGUGGCUCAGCGGUUUAGCACCUGCCUUCGGCCCAGGACAUCAUCCUGGAGUCCUGGGAUCAAGUCCCGCCUCAGGCU